UGUGGUCGAGUCAGAUUCAGGUUUCUAUCCUUUCAUGGUGGGAGCUGGCCCAGAUGGCUCCUCAACAAGGUCUGUUGCUCAUGGGCUCUGCGCCCUGCAUUGGGGUCUGUGGGUAAGUGCGGCUGCAGACAAAA
rnacentral:snoRNA from 1 species